UCUUUCCUGUGGCUCAGUUGGUAGGGCAUUGCACUAACAACGCAAACUCGCAAAGGUCAUGAAUUCAAAUCCCGGGUAAAGAA